rnacentral:rRNA from 1 species
CCCUACGGGGGGCAGCAGUAGGGAAUUUUCGUCAAUGGGCGCAAGCCUGAACGAGCAAUGCCGCGUGAACGAGGAAGGUCUUCGGAUCGUAAAGUUCUGUUGAAGGGGAAAAAGAGCGGAGAGAGGAAAUGGUCUCCGAUUGAUAUUACCCUUCGAGGAAGUAACGGCUAACUACGUGCCAGCAGCCGCGGUAAUACGUAGGUGGCGAGCGUUAUCCGGAAUGAUUGGGCGUAAAGGGUGCGUAGGCGGCCUGCUAAGUCUGGAGUGAAAGGGACCGGCUCAAUCGGUACAGGCUCUGGAAACUG